GUGGUGGAGCGGUGGCUUUCAGCUCCGACGAGAAGAAGGUGUUGGGUGGCGAUGUGAACGGGGAGAAACUGGUGCAGGUUCUGAACGUGCUGGUGGUGGCUGACUGAUACAUGCAUCUCUCGGUUGAGGCUGGCCUCUCGCACCGCCAUCACGUGCACUGCCGCAAGCCUUCCCUGACCGAUCUCUUCCAUGGCCGGUCGAUGUGCUUUGGCUUCCAAGCUGCAGCUUCUCACCUAGACAACAUCGCUCCAUCUCACCGGCUGGUCAAGCAUUUGGCUGUUUAUCAUCAACCUAGCGGCUGGUCCGGCAUGCGGUUGCUCGAUGGCCGGCACUGCUGCUGCCUUCUCCUCAUCUGUGAGCGCACCGUCGGUUCCAAGCCACUCUACUGCAGUCUAAUGAGGGGUCCUGCUGCGGCGUCCCACAUGGGCGAUGCUCAAUGGGCAGCUCAGCCUUCAGAAGGGGAUUUUACAGUAGCAUGGAGUUUUUGGCCUCCCCAUGUCAGUACAUGUAGUUAUUACGCCGCCAACUGCCAUAACUACGUCAAAGAUUCAGCGAGAGAAAGAAGUAUAGAGACAAUCAUGGGAAGAAUAGCCAGAAUUUUGGAUCCUGUAGACCUCCUUUGCUCUGGAUAUUGGGUUACUAUGAAAGCAAUUUCUGACAUGCUUAAUCAAUUGGUAUGCACCUUUUUUUCUCUUGAAACAUUUUAUUAAACAGCGUGAAUGUCAUGCUUUCUUGCUUACUCACUUAUCCCUAGAUCGAUUCCUGUAUAUCACUAAAUUUUUGGCAUAUACAAUUUGCACCAAUAUUCAGGAGAUGAAAAGCAUGUUUUUUUAUACAUUAUUACCUAUAUAAAAACAACACCCCUUUGCUUUAACCAUGGCUAUUUGGGCACUGUUGAUGUCUUUGUUUUCGCCAUUACCGGCUUCACACGUUCUCCAUAUGUAACUGUUCAUGCACCGUAGAUGCGUGGGGUUUUAUUUUGGAUGUCUUUAUUUUUCUCUGUUUAUUUUCUUUUACCUGGAAACUACCGGUUCCUUGCUUUGAGGGAUUCAGUUGCUCCCGGUUCCUUGCUUUGAGGGUAAAAAUACAGCAUGUAUUCAGCAAGCUAAUGAAAUUCUGGCUGGGCUGUAAGUUUUCUUGCCUUCUUUUUUUCCCACUCCGCAUCAAACUCUCCAACACGCCGGCAACUCUGAGGUGCGAACAAUUUAUCCUCUUCUCCGUUGACUCUCUGGUACAUAAAUAGGAUGUAUUGAUUUGACUGACUCAAAAGACGAAUGUUCCCCUUGAUAAUUAAUGCAGCAACUUUGACUGUAUUUUCAUUAAGAAGUUUUUUGUAGUAAUUUAUUCAUAACAGGGCGCGCAUAGACUUCUAAUAUUUGCAAAUAAAAAAUUAAAUUCCUUUUGCAGUUAUAGUUUAUGCCACCAGGUAGAGUAGAGACUUUUACCAUCCGCAAAUUAGAAAUUAAUUACACAAGUCAUAAUGUUCUGUUUAAAGUUGCAUGUUAUAUUUUACAGAUGAGUGAAGUCAAAAUUGAAGAGAAAAAUCAAUUAGUUGACGAAUAACUGACAUAGUUGGUGAAGUACAAUAAAGAUGUAAGUAUAUUGACAGAGGAUACGGAAUGGCUAGAUUGUCAAAUGAUAUAUAUGAAAGACAGCUAGCUUCAUGAAAGAUAUUCAGGAAAUAUUUAGGUGUCAAUAAAUAUUAGGCUACCCUUGAAGAAAUCUUUAAUUACUCAAUGAGGUUCAGGUGCUAAACCCCGGCUAUGCAAGCAACAUGAGUUUACUUCAGAUGUUGAUUUCCUUAAUCGUAUUAACUUCUUAGAGAGUUUACUUGAUCAGCAAAUAUCAGUCUAUUGUCGAGCAUGUCUUUCUUUGUAAAGAGGAAUUUUGAUCUCACACACUUUGCUCGAGUGAAGAUGCUAAAUGAUAAUGCAUUUCUGCUACAUUGCUCCCAAGAUUACCCAUUCAUGUCUUCGCAUAAAUGUUAUCUGUAAUUUGAACAAUGGAUCAACGGUGGAGAAACUGAACUAAUAGAGUGCACACCUAAACAUGGUUCAGUUGUGUGUGUUCCCUUAGAUUGCUCAACUUCAGUUAACUGAUCUGUCUUGCAACCUUGCCAGUACUUUUUUUGAGGGCUAAAUGGGGAGAUUUCAUUCAGAAAAGUGAUACGGUUGGUUACAGUCUAAGGCCAAGGCCUUACUAAUCGGUGCUGGGAACUCAUCGCUCCAGGUCCAGUGACUACAGUCACAGUCAUGGGAAACAUUGUUUUGCACCCCUUCAGCUGAAACACAACUCCAGUUCUGGUUAUUAGACAUACAGUUUCUGACUUCAUGCAAUAAUACCCCUCAGGUACGAUAGCGUGUUGCAUCCGCUUUGUACAGCUUUAACGAUUGAGGCGCAAUUGAUUCAA